AUGGCUGAGCUGGUUGGAAGCGCAAACUCGAAAUCGAGUAGGCGGGGUAACACCUGCCUCGUGGGUUCGAAUCCCACUCUCUCCGCCA
rnacentral:tRNA from 1 species